GAGAAUUUAUGUACCUUUGCAGACGGCCGUCGUUUUCGUUGGGCACUUGCAUCCCGACUGACAACUGAUCACCCCACUGACAAGCACAAGUAGAAUUAACACCGGAGGUCUCAUCAGGGCAGAGAUCUGGAAAAAGUUGGCGAUUU
ensembl:ncRNA Y71F9B.22 ncRNA